rnacentral:rRNA from 1 species
UACGUAGGUGGCAAGCGUUGUCCGGAUUUAUUGGGUUUAAAGGGUGCGUAGGCGGUUCCAUAAGUCAGUGGUGAAAUACGGCAGCUCAACUGUCGAGGUGCCAUUGAUACUGCGGAACUUGAGUACUGAUGAGGUAGGCGGAAUUGACGGUGUAGCGGUGAAAUGCUUAGAUAUCGUCAAGAACACCGAUAGCGAAGGCAGCUUACCAAGCAGUAACUGACGCUGAGGCACGAAAGUGCGGAGAUCAAACAGG